GGCCGUGUACCCAAGUGGUCUAAGGGGACGGAUUGCAAAUCCGUUAUUCGUCGGUUCGAAUCCGACCGCGGCCU
rnacentral:tRNA from 1 species